rnacentral:snRNA from 1 species
GGAUGUGAGGGCGAUCUGGCUGCGACAUCUGUCAUCCCAUUGAUCGCCAGGGUUGAUUCGGCUGAUCUGGCUGGCUAGGCGGGUGUCCCCUUCCUCCCUCACCACUCCAUGUGCGUCCCUCCUGAAGCUGUGUGCUCGGUAGAAGAGGAUGACCAUCCCCAAUAGAGGAGGACCGUUCUUCAGUCAAGGGUAUACGAGUAGCUGCGCUCCCCUGCUAGAACCUCCAAACAAGCUCUCAAGAAUGCUUACAAUGAGGAUGUAACAAAUAAGAGCAACUGAAUAAGUAGGUCUGUAUUUUUCUUGAAUGGUUUUCCUAUGGAGUUUAC